rnacentral:rRNA from 1 species
GAUAAGUAAUGUGAANUGCAGAAUUCAGUGAAUCAUCGAAUCUUUGAACGCACCUUGCGCCCUUAGGUAUUCCGAAGGCACGCCUGUUUGAGUGUCAU